rnacentral:rRNA from 1 species
CCCUUAGAUGUCCUGGGCCGCACGCGCGCUACACUGACGGAGCCAGCGAGCUUACCCCUUUGCCGAAAGGCAUGGGAAAUCUUUUGAAUCUCCGUCGUGCUGGGGAUAGAUCAUUGCAAUUAUUGAUCUUGAACGAGGAAUUCCUAGUAAGCGCAAGUCAUCAACUUGCGUUGAUUACGUCCCUGCCCUUUGUACACACCGCCCGUCGCUACUGCCGAUUGAGUGAUCCGGUGAAUACUUCGGACUGCAACCGGUGCGGUUUCCGUACCCUUUGCAAAAAGUUGAAUAAACCUUAUCACUUAGAGGAAGGAGAAGUCGUAACA